AGAGAGAGAGAGAGAGAGAGAGAGCGCGAGCGAGUGUGUGUGUGUGUGUGUGUGUGUUGGACAGUUAGGUUGGAGGGUGCAGAAAACACCCGAAGUAUCUCGGAAGCUAGCACCCUCUGGGGCCCUGUGCUUUCUCAGUGCAGCUGGGCAGCUGUCAGGAGGUCAGCGUAAGGGCAUGAAUGACUGAAGCUCGAAGGAAUAAGAAUGGUCUAGUCACUAUCGUGAAAAGUGCUGUUUCAAGAGAGUACAGCCUCUAAACUCCAUAAAAGUUUCCUACUGGUCAAGCUGAAGGACUCUUAAGCUGUGGUGUGCCUAGAACAUAAUCAUGGCCCAUUGAUAUUCAAGUAAAGUAGCAGAUGCUUCAGCUGGAAAAUCUUUAAUCUUUGUGGAAAGAAAUUGAACUUUAAACCUUACACACUGAAAAGAAAAAAAACUGCUAAGGACAGAUGAAAUUUCUUCUGGGCUCUCUAUUUUCUGCAUCAGCUGUGGACCUUCAUCCUGGCCACUAGGGGACUUUGGUUUUGAUCAUAUUCCAAAGAUCUGGCAAUUAAUUAGCAUGAACAGAGUUGUUAAGAAGUUGCAUAAAGAGCUCGCAGUGUUAUAAUCCAUGUUCUUUUAUCUCAAAAAAAUUCUGAGUAGAUGUGUGAUCCACAAGGAUACAUGAUCUGUUAACUCUGAGAAUGAUCACUGAUGACCUGGAGAUUUGUUAGUAUUUGGGGAAGUGUCAGCUAUAUUGGCAACGUUCUUCAAAGAAGCCGUGGUCUCUAGUGGGCCUCAGUGGUAGCCAGACUAGAGAUGGUUUUGCUACUAUUCAAUUCCAUCUGUGGGGGUGGGGUAUGAUUAACAUGAUCCUUGAUUAACAAGAGGAAAGCUUCUCGCCAGUAGAGUGGAAGAAACCCCCUUGGGAAGUAGAAGACAUAAUCAGAUUGCCUGGAAAUCAGGCUUUACAUGAACAGUUUAUGGAUGGUUUAUACAGAAAAUAAAAUAUUAAAUUAUCUCUCUUUGGGUAGAGGAUGCAAGGGAAUCACAUAGCACCUCCACAUUUACUUCUCCCAUUUUAGGACAAAUAUUUAAAAGAAGAAGAAGAAGAAGAGGACCCAGCAUAUGAUGUUGCAGAACAAGUUUGGAGACAUAACCCAAACAUUUAAUAAGAUCAGCCAGGCUUUACCUUAGGAGCCAGGAUGGGGAGGGACCAGGACUACCUCCAAGGGCUCAUUUGCUUUAGCCUGUGCUGUGGAGGUCUGCCUCCCACAAGCUGACUGUAUUGCCUGAUUUCUAAUUAGCCUUCCAACCACAGUCACAGCAUGAAUCUUGGAUCAAGGGUCUCAUCUCCCAGUAAUCUACUGUUAUUUUACUGCCUGAAGAACAUAUACCUUUCCUGACCAAUAGUUAUGCCCAUCCUGGGUCUGACAGGGAUGGUUUCCCUACAUGUAAGAAAUGUUUAUUGAUCACCUAAUAGAUGAAAUGCAAAUGGGAGCAGGAAACAGCCCCUAUAUUUGAGAUGCUUCUAGUCUGUGGGGUGGGGGUGGGGGCAAAGGUAAACAGGUAAUAUAAUAGUAUGUACAAUAGUGGCAUAAACACUGUCAUAAGAACCCAUUGGAGGAGCACUCGUUUUAAUAUUAGGCUCUACUAAAUAGUUCAAAGGAGAACAACUUGCUUUAUUUCUGGUUUUCAAAAUGGCGGCCAUCAUGAAUACUAUAUUUGGUUGACUAAGUUCAUUGGAUUCCAGUACCCCAUAGAUGGCUUCUCCUAUGACUCCUAGACCAGGGAAUAAUGGUGUAUGCAAUAGUUGCACACUGUGGAGGCGUCACCGCUCACAGAGUUGCUCCAGCUCCACUUACCCUUUCUCUUUGCUAUAGGUGACUGCAGCACAGAUUAAAACUCCUUGGUAACAGCUAGCUGUUCUUUUUGGAGAAUCUGCAAAAGUAAAUCUUCCAUAUCAUGCAGAUAUGGAAGCAGGUGGAAACCCUAAAAGGCAGCCCCUACAGAGGGGGCUCCUUAGACUUCUGCUGUUGAGAGUCCCCACAUCUCAGCCCUGUUCUGCCCUUCCCAAUCCUUGUUCCUCAUCUUUAAUUCUGCAAGACACUCUGGUAUUCUUCUAGUAAUUUUUUAUGCUUGAAUUAUCCAUGUUUUGUGCUUGUAGCCCAAGAAUGCUUAUGAUGUGCUUGAAUAUUCUUUAGUUUUAUUUGUGUAAUUUCGAAAAAUAUAUCACUUGUGUUCAGACAAUGCACACCAAUUUUGCUGUUGUUAGCUGUAAGUGCUGAGGAAUGUUUCUGACUUCCUACAACUCCAUCUCUUUAGACAAAAAAGCAGAAUUGAUAUCUCCUGGUUGCUAGGUUCAAAGGUCAGCUGAAGGCAGAAGUGGAAUCAAGACAUCUUCUAGAGCUUUCUCUGCUGCUUACUUUAUUCAAGGCUAAAGGAUUUGGGGGAGAAGAGGACCUAGUCCUUGUAUUUCACUUUUCUAGUGUUUCUUGGCAAGCCAGGACUCUUGGUCUUAACUUCUGAAACCGAUCUAGCUCUUAUGUUUGCCUUAGAUGGGCCAGGAGUCCCACCCACACUAACUCCCUAUAGAGCCCCUCAGGGAAACCUUCUUCUCUUCUCUGAGCUUUCUUAUAUCUGCCCUGUAUGUGUGUACAUGGAUUAUUCUAAUGAAAUGAUGACUGUGUUGAUCGUGAUAUGGCUCCUCUCCAAGAUGAUACCUCUGAAAUCACCCUUCUCACUGUCUUGCACUACAGCCUAUGGGCAAGUGGCAUUGUCCUCUAACUUUAGUCCAGCUCUUUGGACUUCCACCUGUUUAAGUAUCUUAAUGUUUUUAUAUAAACCACUAAACUGGAAGCCAUCUGACUCUCCAAAUCUUCUUCAUCUGGCAAGUCUUCUGUUCUCUUCCACCAAGAAAACCUACUGAAAACACACUAGUGAUUACACUAUGCAAUUUUGAAAUUCAUAGCAUUUAAGAAUACAUCAAUGGCUUUUUAAAAAACAAAUCUGAAUCCCUUUCUUGAUAUGAAAUUGUAUGUGAAUUUCCACUAUAAAAAGUUUAAAAAAACCCAGAAAACAAAAAACAAACACAAGAGUUACUCUGGCGGAGGUAGAAUCUAGGUUGUGGAUGGGGCGGAAGGGGGCUUGGCUGAAGUUCUACUCAUUUGGAGCUUCUCUUCUCUUCUGCUGCUGCCUUGGGAGCUCCCCCCACCUGAAUACUUGGGAUUACCUGGGGCACUGUUUCUAAACCACUGACCUUAAUAUCAUUCAUUUGGCAUUUAUUCAGUUACUGUCUUUAGACAAUUUUUACACUUCAGCCAUAUUAUUACAAUUUGCAUGGUCUUUUAAUUUUCCAAAUAUUUGUUUUGACUUCUCCACUAGAUCAUAAUCUCUUUGAGAGUAUGAAAAGUAUCUUAUGUCACAGGGGAGUCAAAUCAAAAUCCACAUAGACAAAAUCAGUGCUCAGCUCAAGGACACCCUGUCAAUAAUUACUGAUCAAUUGCUAAUUCUGUCUGAUCUCUAACACUCAAGAGAGCAAACUAGUAGGAACCUGGACAUGAAUAGGUAGCAGGUCUAAGUAGCACAGCCAGGUGGUAAGUUGGGUUUUUCUUCUGUAAGAUUAAGAUAUUGACCCCUUACUGCUGACAUUCUUCUAAAGAAUGCUAUCAGGCACAGUGAGUCAGAAGUGUGUACUUCUUAUUGAUGACAGUGUUUGCUUGUUACUGGACUGAUAUGCUCAUCAAAGACUGAGAGCACAGCUCCACCUGUUAUUCCAGGUGUGACAUUCAUGUCAGCAAAGUUUCCAAUCACAAGCAGAAGUGAAAGCAAAUGCAAUUUCUGUUCAGUACACAAGAAACCAGAAAAGAUAUAGGAAACCCAACCCCCUUAUCAAAGCUGGCAGUGUGACUAAUUACAUGGAGAAUGAAUGGGCAAUAUUAUGUGCAACACUUCAACAGUCAGUUUGGGGUGAAAUUUUUCAUUCUGUUCAUUGGUGUUACCACUGAUUAAUAGCCAGCAUGACUCAAAAAAUGUGUUUGUAUCCACAGUAGUUGGCUGACUCACAUGAUUGAGUGUUAUUUAUCCAACAUACACUAUCUGAUGAUAGUUGUAUUUUUCAAUAUGCUUUAUAAUCAGAAACUACUUGUUUCUCUCAAUGUGCACUGAAUGCUUUAUAAAGGAAGAAUAAGCUUAUAUAACGUCUACUAUAGAAACGGAGUUUUAAAAUUAAUAUCUGUGUUAAAGCUCUGAAUGAUUAUUUAAAUAAAGUUAAAACUAACUUGA